GGCGGACGGGUGAGUAACACGUAGGAAUCUGCCCAACAGAGGGGGACAACCCGGAGAAAUCCGGGCUAAUACCGCAUACGCCCUACGGGGGAAAGCGGGGGAUCUUCGGACCUCGCGCUGUUGGAGGAGCCUGCGUCGGAUUAGUUUGUUGGUGAGGUAACGGCUCACCAAGGCGACGAUCCGUAGCUGGUCUGAGAGGAUGAUCAGCCACACUGGGACUGAGACACGGCCCAGACUCCUACGGGAGGCAGCAGUGGGGAAUAUUGCACAAUGGGCGAAAGCCUGAUGCAGCCAUACCGCGUGUGUGAAGAAGGCCCUCGGGUUGUAAAGCACUUUCGUCAGGGAAGAAAGGUGCGGGGUUAAUAUCCCCGUACUGUGACGGUACCUGAAUAAGAAGCACCGGCUAACUCCGUGCCAGCAGCCGCGGUAAUACGGAGGG
rnacentral:rRNA from 1 species